rnacentral:lncRNA from 1 species
AGGUUAUGAUAAACCCUAGCUUGUAUUCUCUUAUAUCGAUUAUAGUAACUUCAUUACAUAUACUUUCAAUAGGUUGUGAUAGGGGUGGUAAUUACGAUAAGAAUCCCGUAACAUCAGCUGACGCCCUGCGCCUCUGACAGACUGACAAUGCCUAGCCAGCAUGGGCCAAAACGCCAACCGAGGCCCAUUAACGACCGCUCAGGCUCACCUCCUCACGACACGCCAACCGCAAUGUCAGACGCCAUCAGAUAUACGAUCUUGCUCCCUGCGGACAGGCGCUCCAAGUAACACUAAACUCCCGUAUAAAUACCCCCGUGUUCUAAGCAAAGAGGGGGGAAUAAAGAAGAUCACACCACUCCACAUCACUAACUUGAUCGUCGGAGAGGUCUGGCCGAGCUUUCGACCCAACCCGUGUGUAGGACCGGAGAUGAGGCGCCUCACACCGGGCGCGCAAGCGAAGGGCUCCCAGGAGAAGUUUGGGCGAUUUCCCGACAUUCAGACCCGAACCAAGUCGCGUCAGCCCCGAGGCCACGGCUUAAAGGUGUUUACACUAACAGGUUGCUUUUUAUAUCCGAGUUCUUCGUGUUAUAAUAGUUUUUCUAUACUGAAAUUUGACGUUAGGUUGGUGCUGAAAUUAUUUAUCUUGAAAUGGUAUCUUAUUUUUAUCUUCACUCACUUUCCUACAACCACUAUUUCCAUUCAGAUUGUAUC